AAGCUCGUAGUUGGAUUUCUGUUAAUAAUUUAUAUAUAAUAUUUAACAUAUUUAUAUAAUAUUAACAUAAUUCAUAUUACUAUUUAUAGUAUAUGAAACUUUACUUUGAGAAAAUUAGAGUGCUUAAAGCAGGCUUUUGCCUUGAAUACUAGAGCAUGGAAUAAUAUUAAAGAUUUUUAUCUUUCUUAUUGGUUCUAAGAUAGAAAUAAUGAUUAAUAGGGACAGUUGGGGGCAUUUGUAUUUAACAGUUAGAGGUGAAAUUCUUAGAUUUGUUAAAGACAAACUAAUGCGAAAGCAUUUGCCAAGGAUGUUUUCAUUAAUCAAGAACGAAAGUUAGGGGAUCGAAGACGAUCAGAUACCGUCGUAGUCUUAACCAUAAACUAUGCCAACUAGAGAUUGGAGGUUGUUCCUUACUCCUUCAGCACCUUA
rnacentral:rRNA from 1 species